rnacentral:rRNA from 1 species
UACGGAGGGUGCAAGCGUUGUCCGGAAUCACUGGGCGUAAAGGGCGCGUAGGCGGCCGCCUAAGUCAGACGUGAAAUCCCUCGGCUCAACCGGGGAACUGCGUCUGAUACUGGGUGGCUUGAAUUCGGGAGAGGGAUGCGGAAUUCCAGGUGUAGCGGUGAAAUGCGUAGAUAUCUGGAGGAACACCGGUGGCGAAGGCGGCAUCCUGGACCGACAUUGACGCUGAGGCGCGAAAGCCAGGGGAGCAAACGGG